rnacentral:sRNA from 1 species
GUUGGCUGUGGUGAUGCAUAUCUGUAAUCUCAGCAACUUGGGAGGCUGAGGCAGGAGGACCUCAAGUUUCAGGCCAGUCUUAACAAUUUAUCAAGGACCUAGCAAUUUAGUGAUAUCCUGUCUCAA